rnacentral:rRNA from 1 species
UACGUAGGGUGCGAGCGUUGUCCGGAAUUAUUGGGCGUAAAGAGCUUGUAGGCGGUCUGUCGCGUCUGCUGUGAAAAUCCGGGGCUCAACCCCGGACUUGCAGUGGGUACGGGCAGACUAGAGUGUGGUAGGGGAGACUGGAAUUCCUGGUGUAGCGGUGAAAUGCGCAGAUAUCAGGAGGAACACCGGUGGCGAAGGCGGGUCUCUGGGCCGUAACUGACGCUGAGGAGCGAAAGCGUGGGGAGCAAACAGG